CCUACGGGUGGCAGCAGUGGGGAAUAUUGGGCAAUGGGCGCAAGCCUGACCCAGCAACGCCGCGUGAAGGAAGAAGGCUUUCGGGUUGUAAACUUCUUUUCUGAGGGACGAAGAAAGUGACGGUACCUCAGGAAUAAGCCACGGCUAACUACGUGCCAGCAGCCGCGGUAAUACGUAGGUGGCAGGCGUUAUCCGGAUUUAUGGGGUGUAAAGGGCGGGUAGGCGGGAAAGCAAGUCAGCUGUGAAAACUCAGGGCUCAACCCUGGGCUUGCAUUUGAAACUGUGUUUCUUGAGUGCUGGGGAGGCAAGCGGAAUUCCGUGUGUAGCGGUGAAAUGCGUAGAUAUACGGAGGAACACCAGUGGCGAAGGCGGAUUGCUGGACAGUAACUGACGCUGAGGCGCGAAAGCGUGGGGAGCAAACAGGAUUAGAUACCCCGGUAGUC
rnacentral:rRNA from 1 species